CAGCAGCCGCGGGAAUACGGAGGGAGCUAGCGUUGUUCGGAAUUACUGGGCGUAAAGCGCGCGUAGGCGGUUACUCAAGUCAGAGGUGAAAGCCCGGGGCUCAACCCCGGAACUGCCUUUGAAACUAGGUGACUAGAAUCUUGGAGAGGUCAGUGGAAUCCCGAGUGUAGAGGUGAAAUUCGUAGAUAUUCGGAAGAACACCAGUGGCGAAGGCGACUGACUGGACAAGUAUUGACGCUGAGGUGCGAAAGCGUGGGGAGCAAACAGGAUUAGAUACCCCAGUAGUCCCUGUCUCUUAUAC
rnacentral:rRNA from 1 species